UACGUAGGGUGCGAGCGUUAAUCGGAAUUACUGGGCGUAAAGCGUGCGCAGGCGGUUUUGUAAGGCAGAUGUGAAAUCCCCGGGCUUAACCUGGGAAUGGCAUUUGGGACUGCAAGGCUGGAGUUUGGCAGAGGAGACUGGAAUUCCUGGUGUAGCAGUGAAAUGCGUAGAUAUCAGGAGGAAUACCGAUGGCGAAGGCAGGUCUCUGGGCUAUAACUGACGCUCAUGCACGAAAGCGUGGGGAGCAAACAGG
rnacentral:rRNA from 1 species